UGACCACUCCUGUGGCCUAGUGGUAGAGCAUCCACCUCAGAUGUGGGAGGUCACUGGUUUCAUCCGCAGCCAAGUCAU